AAGGGAUUCUAAGACCAAUCUGUGCACGGCCUGAAUUGACUACAGGAAAGCAUGGUCAGCAAGACAAUGAGCCUUCAUCAAGAAGUCGAUGGGCAAGUAGAAAACAACUCUAGAAGCCAAUUUCUGGACAAUAACUCAAGUGAACAUCAAAUGUGACAUACCAAGGUGAUGCGCUAUCCCCAAUGCUGUUCUGCAUAGGCCUCAACACUCUUAGCCAGAUCAAGAAGAGGGGAUACGGAUACAGGUUCAAGAGUAGAGCUACCAUCAGCCACCUACUCU